CAGCACCUCAAGUGGUCAGGAUGAUUAUUGGGCCUAAAGCAUUCGUAGCCGGCUCUGUAAGUUUUCGGUUAAAUCUGUACGCUCAACGUACAGGCUGCCGGGAAUACUGCAGAGCUAGGGAGUGGGAGAGGUAGACGGUACUCGGUAGGAAGGGGUAAAAUCCUUUGAUCUAUUGAUGACCACCUGUGGCGAAGGCGGUCUACCAGAACACGUCCGACGGUGAGGGAUGAAAGCUGGCGGAGCAAACCGGAUUAGAUACCCGAGUAGUCC
rnacentral:rRNA from 1 species